ensembl:miRNA
AUUGCCCAGUUCUGGAUAUGAAGACAAUCAAGAAAAGAUUUGGUGUUCUUGAUUGUCUUCAUAUCUAGAACUGGGCAGU